rnacentral:lncRNA from 1 species
UUCACACCAACUGCCAGAAUAUGUCAGCCAAACAUUCACCAGUUCUGGUUCUCCAGUCCACAAGAUAUCAGAGCAGUUACUAACUAUUUACAAGAAUUUAAGUAUUUUACAACAAAAUCCUACAUUUCGUGGGUGGCGCGGGAGCUAGGAGUGGCCCGUGGUGGAUUCCUGUGCACUUCUACUGCCUGGGGGCGAAAAAAAACAAUUUGAAAGUGUGAGUGGACAAAAAAUAACGUUCUCAAAACAAUUUAUAAACAUAGUAACCCCCGUUGUAAAAAUGAAUAGGUAUGUAAAUCUAAAGUUCGACUGUAUUCAAAUACAAAGCGUUCAAAUAAACAUGUAUAUGUAUACGUAUCUAUACAGAUGUGAACACAUGCACGAAUAUCGAGAAAACUGGUAUAAAAUGACUGAAAGCAAUAAUUACAUAAAAGCACUGAAAUUCUUUUAAAACUACCACCUAAAUGUACCCCUGUAAAUCCGUCAAUUCCCCUGGCAGGUCUCGGCGACACACAGUCUAUCCGAGCCGCAAACUAGCAGGAUUCAGGGGACUAUGGUCAGCCUGAUCCGCCGACAGGUCUCGAUGACACCAAGUCGACUCGAGCUGCUCUGGCAAGAUAUAGGGGACUGUAGUCAGCUUGAUCCGCAAUCCUGGCAGGUCUCGGGGACACAGAGUCAGCCGAGCCACAAAUCCUGGCAGGUCUCGGGACACCAAGUCUGCCGAGCUGCAAAUCCUGGCACUCACGGUCUGAGCGUCCCCGAAACUCGUGAGGCAAUGUCAAGUGCACUGACAGAACUGUAAACAGACUGGAUGUCCGUAGACAUCGGUCCAUCUGAGGGUAAUCACCAAAUAAAAAUGGGUACGUGGUGGUUUUAAAAAUAAAUAACUUUAGGAAAAUUUGAUUAAUAACUGUAAUCUCGCAUUAUGCUGUUAUCUCAUUUGAUUUAGACCUCAAACUCUGUUUCUAUAACUUUUAGCAUGUGACUGAGCAGCGUGAAAUUAUAGAAAUAUCACGGUACUAAUCAAGCUCGGAAACUUUCAAUAAAACUUAUUCAAAAUCAAAUAAUAAAAUUCAUGCAUAUAAACUUAUUUAUAAAAGCGUUUGUAUAAACUUAUUUAUAGAAAAUCAUUUAUGAAAGAAAGGUCCACUCACUGCUGGUCCGAGCUAGCUGGACCCUUUGAAGGUCCCUCCUGGGGUUCUGC